rnacentral:rRNA from 1 species
ACUACGGGAGGCAGCAGUAGGGAAUAUUGCUCAAUGGGGGAAACCCUGAAGCAGCAACGCCGCGUGAAGGAUGAAGGUCUUAGGAUUGUAAACCCCUUUUUUUAGAGAAGAAAAGUACGGUAUCUGAGGAAUAAUCCCCGGCCAACUCCGUUCCAGCAGCCGCGGUUAUACGGCGGGGGCAAGCGUUAUUCGGAUUUACUGGGCGUUAAGGGGGCGCAGGCGGGGUUUUAAGUCUGUUGUGAAAUCCUGAAGCUAAACUGCAGAAGUGCAGUUGAAACUGGGAGUCUGGAGUGUGGGCGAGGUAGGUGGAAUUCUUGGUGUAGCGGUGAAAUGCGUAGAUAUCAAGAGGAACACCGAUGGCGAAGGCGGCCUACUGGACCGUGACUGACGCUGAUGCACGAAAGCGUGGGGAGCAAACAGGAUUAGAUACCCUAGUAGUC